AUACAGUCGCCUUGUUUAUUGCUUGUGUGAAUGGGGAUUUAUAGUGUUUCCUUGACACAUGAUCUCAGGUUUACAAAGAUUCCUUGUAAAAGUUGUUUGGGGGCUUUAAUAGCCUUACCUUUGUUUUGUUUUGUUUUUCUUUCCUGACACUAGUUUCUCUAUAAUAGAACUUGCUUUGUAUGCCAGGCCAGCCUUGAACCAGAGAGAUCACCUGCCUCUGCCUGCUGAAUGCUGGAAAUAAGGCCUACUGCACCACCUUUUAAAGAGUAGUCAGAAGGAAGCUAACCCAAGACCCUUCACAUAGUCACUGUGUUAGACUGUGCUGUGUAUGGUGUAUGUCAGCCUUAGGUCACUGUGUUAGACUGUUGCUGUGUAUGGUGUAUGUCAGCUGUAGGUCACUGUGUUAGACUGUUGCUGUGUAUGGUGUAUGUCAGCUGUGGGUCACUGUGUUAGACUGUUGCUGUGUAUGGUGUAUCUCAGCUGUGGGUCACUGUGUUAGACUGUGCUGUGUACUGUGUAUCUCAGCUGUGGGUCACUGUGUUAGACUGUGCUGUGUAUGGUGUAUGUCAGCUGUGGUCCAGUUAUAUCCAUGUUCAUGGGAGGAGGGAAGUAUGCCUCAGGAGUAGGAAACUUUUAGAGCCAUUUGGGAUUCACACUCUAUGUCUACCUACUAAGAAUUUUCCUUUUGCCUGUAUGAAGGGGAGAAUAAUGAUAAGACAGCUUUCCCAAAGUCUACUUUAAAUGUCAGUGGUAGAGGCCUACAAGAUGGCUCAGGGGGUAAAAGUACUUUAAUUUUACCUCAGCCCUGAGGUACUGAGUUCAAAUCCUAGAACCCAUGUAAUAGCUGGACAGGAAGCAGAGAGUCUGGAGUAGCAGCAUCCUACAGGGACAUGGUGGAGAGAGACAAAGGAAUCCUGACACUCAGAGGCCAGCUGCAGAGUGGAAAAACAACACAGGACAUCUUGUCUCAAAUGAGGUAGAAAGUAAAGACUGACACCUAAGGUCAUCAUGCACGUGCCCACUUUAACCAACACACGAACGUGCAUGCAUCAUACACAGAACAAGGUCAGUGGUAGAAUUGUUUUAGGGAUCAUGAGUUUGGUGUAUAUGACAGGCUAUAUGAAAUAAAGUGUAACAUCUGAUUCAUAAUGCCCCAGAACAAUGGGGUGCUACAUGCUGGAUAAUGCCAUCUAAGUUUAUAGAGAGUGUUCUAGGGCCUGCUAAUGCUCUGGCCUCUCUGAUCUGGGUUCUGAGAAUAGUUACUCAGUAAUGUACACUCAGAGGUCGCUCUCCAGUGUGGCUGCUGGCUCUCCUUCACUGGCAUGAAGGGACAUUGAAAGUAGUAAGAGAGGGACUGAUCUGAGGAGGGGAAAAGCCAAGGAAGGACAACUAUUUAAAAUGAUGGAUGAGUCAGUGCAAUUAGGUCUAUCGUUGUGUGAGGUGACUGGGGCAGGUGAGUGGGAUUGAUUCUGUGCUGCCCAAGAUACACAUCCUGUGAGAUAAAAGGCAUUUUUUGUGUGUGUGUUUUUUUUUUUUCUUUUCUAUUUUUCGGAGCUGGGGACCGAACCCAGGGCCUUGCGCCUGAUAGGCAAGCGCUCUACCACUGAGCUAAAUCCCCAACCCGCUUUAUGUGCUUUGUGUGAUACAGGCUUAUCUCUGCAUGACCUGAGGGUUCAACCCAUAUGGGUCUCUAGUUGUACUUCUGAGUAUCGCCUUAAAAAACAAAACUUAAGGUUGAACAUGCUAAAUUUCCCAACUUUGGUACAUGACUUUAUUUUGUAUUACAUUUUCCUUACUUUUCAUGUGUGUGUAUAGGCCAAAAGACAGCUUGUUGGAGUCUGUUCUCUCCUUCCACUGUAUGGUCCCAGAGGUCUUCAGGUAUGGCGGCAAUCACUCCAACCCGCUGAACAUCCUCGCCAGCCCGAGUAACGGCUCUCUGUUGGGAAAACUUUCGAUCUGUUGUGUACUUUCAUGUGUCAUUGAGCUUCUGUGCAGGGGACAGGGAGGAAGAGUAGUUGUGGAGGGCAGGGGCGGAGGGAGGGUGUGCCUCCGCUGCAGAAGACGCCACCAUCCCCAUGCUGCAGGCCGAAUUUUACUUCACGGGCGAGAGCGAGGCCGCUUUGCGCUGCCGUAAACUGCCGUAACGCGCGGCUGGCCCCGCCCCCGGCGCUCCUCCUGUGACGCAGGCGCCCAGAGCUAUUUGGGCGGGAAAAGGCGGCGGGCCGGCGGAGAGGCUGUGGGUAAAGCUUCGCGGGGUUUGCGGAGCAGCCUCUUCCCCGGGAUGGGGCUGCUGGAGCUGUGCGAGCAGGUGUUUGGCACCGCCGACCUCUACCAGGUGCUGGGCGUGCGGCGCGAGGCUUCCGACGGCGAAGUCCGACGCGGCUACCACAAGGUGUCCCUGCAAGUGCACCCCGACAGAGUAAAGGAGGACCAGAAAGAGGACGCCACCCGCCGCUUCCAGAUCUUGGGGAGAGUGUACGCGGUUCUGAGUGACAAGGAGCAGAAAGCAGUGUACGAUGAACAGGGGACAGUGGACGAAGACUCUGCUGGCCUCCACCAAGACCGAGACUGGGAUGCGUAUUGGAGAUUACUCUUUAAAAAGAUAUCGCUAGAAGAUAUCCAAGCUUUUGAAAAGACAUACAAAGGCUCCGAAGAAGAGCUAAACGAUAUUAAGCAAGCCUAUCUGGACUUCAAGGGCGACAUGGAUCAGAUCAUGGAGUCUGUGCUUUGUGUACAAUACACAGAUGAACCCAGGAUAAGAAACAUCAUUCAAAAAGCUAUUGAUGCCAAAGAGGUUCCGUCCUACAAUGCCUUCGUUAAAGAGUCUAAACAGAAGAUGAACGCAAGGAAAAGAAGGGCUCAGGAAGAAGCCAAAGAAGCAGAGCUGAGCAGGAAGGAGCUGGGGCUGGAAGGAGGAGUGGAUAGCCUGAAAGCGCUCAUCCAGGUUCCAAGGACUGCCCUCAGUCACCAAGCCCUCUCAUGGCCUGUUUAUCCACUUCCGAGUGACCUUCUGUAAAUAGUGGGAUGUUAGUUCCAGCCUGACUCUUUUCUGUGUGGGUCCACUUGCUCUGCGGCAUUUAUUGGUAAGAUGUCGCCUCGCUGACUAAUCUCAGCAGCCCUGUUGGAAUCGUUAGAUGUAAAUGCUCAGGCUUAUUUGUUUUCACUACACUGACAUAUAUGUCCUCUGCUAGUCUUUUUUUUUUUUUUUUGGUUCUUUUUUUUUUCGGAGCUGGGGACUGAACCCAGGGCCUUGCGCUUCCUAGGCAAGCGCUCUACCACUGAGCUAAAUCCCCAACCCCGUCCUCUGCUAGUCUUAAAGAAGUAUUUUAAAGUCAAAAACUGAGUUCUCUAACUUCAUUUUUCAAUACUGUUUUAGCUGCGGAGGGUCCCUUGCAGGUCCAGAAGAUGGUCGGGUCUGUUGGCCCGUUUCUCAAAAAUGCAUGAGUUUGUUCUGUGUUGGUGGCUUCUGAAUGUGAGAGUCAAGCAGUCUAUCAUGUUCUGUAUGACCAUAUUCCAGCUCGGGCAGCUGGGACUGUGACAGGAACCACAUUUGACCUACAGAUGUAUUUGGAAGUCCUGUCACCUUAACAAUGUGAUGCCUUCCAACCACGGACAUAGGCCAACCUCCCAUGCUUCUUUAGGUUUGUGCUUCUGAAAUAUCAUAUGGUGGUGUUUGUUUGGGUACAUAACUCUUCCCUUCCUAGAGUUAAUUUUAUCCCUAAUCAUCUUUAGUAGACAAGAAAACUGGCAGUAUAAAAGCAAAAGGAGGAUAAUUAGAGAUAUAAAGAUAUUAUUUGUUUUUAUUUUAUGUGUCCAUGUACAAUGUACAUGCAGUGCCUGUGAAUCCAGAAGGGGGCGUGUGAUCCCUCUGAAACUGAUGUCAUAAAUAAGUGAACUGUGUAAUUCUGGUUUGACUGGCUGACUUUGAAAAAUAAAGUUGCCAUGAAAACCACCAUCAUAAGGAUUUGUUCACAAUCCUUGUGUACACAGAGACAGAAGUGGACACUUUUCUAGCUUAGCUUUCACAUGAAAACGUAUUAUUGGCCAAUACCUUGACCUCAGUCUUGUGAGACCGUAGGCAAAGGACUCAUUAAGUUGUUCUAGGCUUUCUAAUCCAUAAACGUGUGAGAUAAUAGGAUGCGUUGAUUAAAACUGUGAGAUCUGGAAUAAUUUGAGUGGUAAAGAUAAACAUAAAAUAUAACAAAGUAUUUAUGUAUCUAUGAAUAUAACCCAGUCAUCUAGUACUAGUAAUCUGCCUAGAGAAACAGAAAUAUGUUCCCCUAAAUUCUUGCACAGUAGUAUUUGUACCAGCUAAAGUGGAAAGCAAUUCAAAUGUCCAUCAAUAGGUAAACUGAUAAAAUGUGGCUUCAUGAAAUAAUACCCAGCAAUAAAAGGAGUUACAGAUGCACAAAGCGAGGCAGCUAAGUCUCAGAUCAUCAUCCUGAGAUGGAAGAACCCGCCAGAGAAGUCACCUGCUUUUUGUCAUUGCAAGUUGUCAGCUUCAGAUGUUGGGAAUGGAGUUAGCGGAUAGAUGCCCUGUCUUAGUUAAGGUUUUAUUGCUGUGAAGUGACACCAUGACCACAGCAACUCUAACAGGAACAUAUUUAACUGGGGCUGUCUUACAGGUCAGAGGUGGGCAGCACAGCAGUGUGCAGGCAGGCAUAGCGCUGAAGAAGUAGCUGAGAGAUCUACAUCUGGAUGGGCAGGCGGCAGGGAAAGAAUGUUGCACUGGGCCUGACUCUGAGCAUUUGAGACUCCAAAGCCCACCCCAGUGACACAUUUCCUCCAACAAUGCCACAUAUAUUCCAAGGCCACAAGCCCUAAUCCUUUCAAACAAUGCCACUCACUCAGAGCUGUUUUCAUCCACACUACCAUAUACUCUCUGGCUUCUCUCAGCAGAAACAUCUUCUGGGAACAGACACAACAUACAGUGACAGGAAGCAGGGGCUUACAGAGGACAUGAACAUCUGGGAGUGAUGGAUGGCCACUGUACUGACUGCAGUGAGGGCUUCACAGGUGCACACUACAUAGAUGAGGACUUACCAAGCUUUAUACUUCAUGUGUGUGAAGUGUCUUGUGUGUUAAUCACUCUCACUGAGACAGUGUGAGAAGCAUGCACCAUUUACAUGGUCUCCUCACAGAUGUGCUGGAGGAGAGUCCAAACCCUCACGGCCACAGGUGAGGCCUCAUCACUCCUCCACCCAGUCUCAAGUAUUUACUAAGUUCUUUGCUAGUUUCUGUGAGAAACACCAACAGUAAUCAGGCUUUAAUAAUAUAAAGCAAACGUAUUUGGUCUCUACCUAGGUUCUGGUACAUAGCUCCUAAAACCCUUAGAGUAGUCAAAGCAAUAGUAUCUUUCUGUGUCCUGAAGACAUGGAUGGUGGCUGGGAGAGUCAGAAGAGUUUCAGGAUAGGGGCAAGGGAGGGUUAGUUGACAGGGCAACCAACCAUGUUAUCAGCUUUGGAACUUUUAGUCCUAGUCCCCUGACUUGUGAAGGGUGAAUUGAUCAAUGGCCAAUUAUUUGAUCAUCAUGCUUACAUAGUGAGGAUUCUAAAACCCAAGUAAGGGCCUUGUUCAGAGGAGUUUCCAGUCUGCUCACCACUCGAGGUACUUGGAGAGUGGCAUGGAUACCCACUUCGGUCCCCCUACACUGUCCUCUGCAUUUCUUAUCUAGCUGUUCAUCUGUACGCUUUGUGCUAUUCUUUACAAGCUAUGCUUCUGAGUUCUGUGCACCACUCUACCAAAUUGAUCAAACCUAAGGAAGGCUGUCCCAUGAAUUCUAAGUUUUGACUAGAAGCACAGAUCAUAGCCUGAGGCUUGAAAGUGUCACAUGAGGUAUGAGGUGGGACAGAUAGGCUGUGGACUGAACCCUUUGAAUCUACAGCUAUCUUCCAUGCAUAUGAGACCAGAACCAUAGGAUACUCGGAUGGUGUAUGAGAAUCUGCUAAACGGAGCUGUCUGCUGGCUGUAGGACUCUGAGUCCAUGAGUGAGCGAGCACAGGAGUGAAGAUGUCUGUAGAAGACACCGCAGGAGGAAGAGAGGUCUACAAUCAUAUGACACAAUCGCCAGAUGCAACCCCCCGGCCUACACAGUGCCGGCACUUCCAGAUAUGCUGUUAGAAUACUGGUCCUGGAAAUA